rnacentral:rRNA from 1 species
GCGCAACCCUUGUCUCAUGUUGCCAGCACGUAAUGGUGGGGACUCGUGAGAGACUGCCGGGGUCAACUCGGAGGAAGGUGGGGAUGACGUCAAGUCAUCAUGCCCCUUAUGUCCAGGGCUUCACACAUGCUACAAUGGCCGGUACAAAGGGCUGCGAUGCCGCGAGGUUAAGCGAAUCCUUUAAAGCCGGUCUCAGUUCGGAUCGGGGUCUGCAACUCGACCCCGUGAAGUCGGAGUCGCUAGUAAUCGCAGAUCAGCAACGCUGCGGUGAAUACGUUCCCGGGCCUUGUACACACCGCCCGUCACGUCAUGAAAGUCGGUAACACCCGAAGCCAGUGGCCUAACCCUUUGGGAGGGAGCUGUCGAAGGUGGGAUCGGCGAUUGGGACGAAGUCGUAACAAGGUAGCCGUACCGGAAGGUGCGGCUGGAUCACCUCC